UUUCCGUAGGUGAACCUGCGGAAGGAUCAUUAUUGAAUGAACUUGGCUUGGUUGUUGCUGGCUUCCUUGGAGGCAUGUGCACACCUUGUCAUCUUUAUAUCUCCACCUGUGCACCUCUUGUAGACCUGGAUUCAACAUUUCCGAGGCAACUCGGUCGUGAGGAAUUGCUUAACCAGCUUUCCUUGGUAGUCUCCAGGCCUAUGUUUUUCAUAUACACCAUAAGAAUGUAACAGAAUGUGAUUAUUAGACUUGAUUGUCUUAUAAACUAUAUACAACUUUCAGCAACGGAUCUCUUGGCUCUC
rnacentral:misc_RNA from 1 species